rnacentral:rRNA from 1 species
CACGUAGGAUCCGAGCGUUAUCCGAAUUUACUGGGCGUAAAGCGCGUGUAGGCGGCUGGGUAAGUUGGACGUGAAAUCUCCCGGCUCAACUGGGAGGGGUCGUUCAAGACUGCCUGGCUAGAGGGCGGUAGAGGGAGGUGGAAUUCCCGGUGUAGUGGUGAAAUGCGUAGAUAUCGGGAGGAACACCAGUGGCGAAAGCGGCCUCCUGGACCGCCCCUGACGCUCAGACGCGAAAGCUAGGGGAGCAAACGGGAUUAGAUACCCCGGUAGUCCUAGCCGUAAACGAUGUGGACUAGGCGUCGGUGGGGUAAAACCCAUCGGUGCCGAAGCUAACGCGAUAAGUCCACCGCCUGGGGACUACGGCCGCAAGGUUAAAACUCAAAGGAAUUGGCGGGGGCCCGCACAAGCAGCGGAGCGUGUGGUUUAAUUCGAUGCUACACGAAGAACCUUACCCGGGUUUGACAUCCAGGUAGUAGGGAACUGAAAGGGGACCGACCCUUCGGGGAGCCUGGACAGGUGCUGCAUGGCUGUCGUCAGCUCGUGUCGUGAGAUGUCCGGUUAAGUCCGGUAACGAGCGCAACCCUUGCUGGAUGUUACAAGUGUCAUCCAGGACUGCCGGUAUAGUACCGGAGGAAGGCGGGGAUGACGUCAAGUCAGCAUGGCCUUUAUAUCCGGGGCUACACACGCUACAAUGGCCAGUACAAUGGGUUGCAAAGCCGCGAGGUAGAGCCAAUCCCCAAAACUGGUCUCAGUUCGGAUUGCAGGCUGCAACUCGCCUGCAUGAAGUCGGAGUUGCUAGUAACCGCGCGUCAGCUAUAGUGCGGUGAAUACGUUCCCGGGCCU